rnacentral:rRNA from 1 species
UAGGGAAUCUUCCGCAAUGGGCGAAAGCCUGACGGAGCAACGCCGCGUGAGUGAUGAAGGUCUUCGGAUCGUAAAACUCUGUUAUUAGGGAAGAACAAAUGUGUAAGUAACUAUGCACGUCUUGACGGUACCUAAUCAGAAAGCCACGGCUAACUACGUGCCAGCAGCCGCGGUAAUACGUAGGUGGCAAGCGUUAUCCGGAAUUAUUGGGCGUAAAGCGCGCGUAGGCGGUUUUUUAAGUCUGAUGUGAAAGCCACGGCUCAACCGUGGAGGGUCAUUGGAAACUGGAAAACUUGAGUGCAGAAGAGGAAAGUGGAAUUCCAUGUGUAGCGGUGAAAUGCGCAGAGAUAUGGAGGAACACCAGUGGCGAAGGCGACUUUCUGGUCUGUAACUGACGCUGAUGUGCGAAAGCGUGGGGAUCAAACAGG